rnacentral:piRNA from 1 species
UCAUGAAAUACUUUGAGAUGCUGAUAUUCU